rnacentral:rRNA from 1 species
AGACGUCUACAUUAGAUACCCGGGUAGUCCCAGCCGUAAACUAUGCGCGUUAGGUGUAUCGGUGACCACGAGUCACCGAGGUGCCGAAGGGAAACCGUGAAACGUGCCGCCUGGGAAGUACGGUCGCAAGGCUGAAACUUAAAGGAAUUGGCGGGGGAGCACCACAACGGGUGGAACCUGCGGUUUAAUUGGACUCAACGCCGGGAAGCUCACCGGAUAAGACAGCGGAAUGAUUGCCGGGCUGAAGACUCUGCAUGACUAGCUG